CUCCCUCCCUCCCUCAACGGCCGCCUUCCCUCCCUCCUUCCUCCCUUCCCUUCCUUCUCUUCUUCCUCACGGGCAGCCCCGCAGCGCCCAGCCCCUGCCCGCUCCCUUCCCUCCCCGCCUCGGGCCUGCCUCGCCGCCCGCUGGGGCCUGGCUGCGGCCGCCUCCGCGAUCGUGAGUGUCUUUCAGUUGUUAGAGAAAGGCCUGUGGCUGCCCAUGCUGGAAAGCUAACUGUAGUUGAAGUGAAGUGAAAAUAUCUGCUCAGUGUUAUACAACUGGUAAUUAUGAAGUUUGACCUUAAAAUCUGUAUGAUUUAAUACCAGCUGAGUUAAAGUUUGAAAACUAACACAAUUUUGUUUUAGAUUUUUUUUAUAGUCAGGCUGCCCUUGGCAAAAAAAAAAAAAAAAAAAAGGGUAAUUCUUGACCUAAAAAGGUAAUAUGGAAGCUCCCAGCACUUAGUAUUCCAGCAAACUUAUUUUUUAAUAGACAUGAUUGCAUCUUUAUGGAACAAUUAUUACUAAUGCUGGAAUACAACAAUGGUCUCUGUGAAUAAGAGAUCUUAAAAGUUCCAUAAGGCACAGAUAGGUGUGAAAGACACAAUUGACAGAAUCUGUGGAGACUUGACUGAGAAUCUCUGCUAGGUUUUAGUCUCUUGUUCAUGUUAACUGCUGCAUCAUUAACAGCAUUUCAGAAGACAUCAUUUUCUCUAACGCCCAAGGCAAAUAUCUCAAAAACAUCAUUUUCUAGGCUUUCUGUCUCUGAAUUGUAGCCUAAGUGGAAUUAGAAGGUAUGGUUAUUGACACUUGCUGGUGCCUGUAAAGUUCUGUAGUAGCAGCCACAAAAUGUAGAAUCUAGUGAAUUUAUCUGCUGUUUCUGUGGGGCAUGGGGUUGACAGGAAUCCCACUUUUUGGUGGGCUGUGAGAAAGAGCACUAAACUAUUUUCUGGAAAAAGGCAAAAUGCCAAGAAACUUCCCUUCAGAUGGUACUAAAUCUGCCACCUUUCAAAGAGUAAAAAGGUGAGGCUUAAGACAGCAAAAUGCCAAAAAUUGCUGGGUGUUUUUGGUUUCAUUUUAAAAUUGGAUGUCAAUUUUUAAAUGGCUCAGCAAUUCAUACUGAUCAUCUAUAAACUUUAAGCAUUGUUUGAGGAGAUGGAAAAGGGUGGGAACACUGAAUUCAGAGCCUGAGAAGGAAGUUAAUAAAGUGCUUACUGCAUCUAAAUACUAUGUGA
rnacentral:lncRNA from 1 species